AGUGGGGGAUAACGUAGCGAAAGUUACGCUAAUACCGCAUAUGCCCUGAGGGGGAAAGGAGGGGAUCGCAAGACCUUUCGCUUUCGGAGUGGCCGAUAUCGGAUUAGCUAGUUGGUGGGGUAAAGGCCCACCAAGGCGACGAUCCGUAGCUGGUCUGAGAGGACGACCAGCCACACUGGGACUGAGACACGGCCCAGACUCCUACGGGAGGCAGCAGUGGGGAAUUUUGGACAAUGGGCGCAAGCCUGAUCCAGCCAUGCCGCGUGAGUGAAGAAGGCCUUCGGGUUGUAAAGCUCUUUCGGACGGAAAGAAAUCGCACAGGUUAAUACCCUGUGUGGAUGACGGUACCGUAAGAAGAAGCACCGGCUAACUACGUGCCAGCAGCCGCGGUAAUACGUAGGGUGCGAGCGUUAAUCGGAAUUACUGGGCGUAAAGCGUGCGCAGGCGGUUUUGUAAGACAGGUGUGAAAUCCCCGGGCUUAACCUGGGAACUGCACUUGUGACUGCAAGACUAGAGUGCGGCAGAGGGGGGUAGAAUUCCA
rnacentral:rRNA from 1 species